rnacentral:misc_RNA from 1 species
GAUGAAGAACGUAGCGAAAUGCGAUAAGUAAUGUGAAUUGCAGAAUUCAGUGAAUCAUCGAAUCUUUGAACGCACAUUGCGCCCCCUGGUAUUCCGGGGGGCAUGCCUGUCCGAGCGUCAUUACAACCCUCAAGCUCAGCUUGGUGUUGGGCCCCGCCGCCCCGGCGGGCCCUAAAGUCAGUGGCGGUGCCGUCCGGCUCCGAGCGUAGUAAUUCUUCUCGCUCUGGAGGUCCGGUCGUGUGCUCGCCAGCAACCCCCAAUUUUUUUCAGGUUGACCUCGGAUCAGGUAGGGAUACCCGAUGAACUUAAGCAUAUCAAUAAGCGGAGGA